GAGUGCUUGCACUCCGCUGACGACCGGCGCACGGGUGCGUAACGCGUAUGCAACCUACCUUCUACAGGGGGAUAGCCCAGAGAAAUUUGGAAUAAUACCCCAUACGAUCAUUAAUCGGCAUCGAUUGAUGAAGAAAACUCCGGUGGUAGAAGAUGGGCAUGCGUCCUAUUAGUUAGUUGGUGAGGUAACGGCUCACCAAGACGUCGAUAGGUAGGGGUCCUGAGAGGGAGAUCCCCCACACUGGUACUGAGACACGGACCAGACUCCUACGGGAGGCAGCAGUGAGGAAUAUUGGACAAUGGAGGCAACUCUGAUCCAGCCAUGCCGCGUGCAGGAAGACGGCCCUAUGGGUUGUAAACUGCUUUUAUACAGGAAGAAUUGUACCUACGUGUAGGUAUUUGACGGUACUGUACGAAUAAGG
rnacentral:rRNA from 1 species